UGUGGUUCUCAGGUGAUGCACCCUGGAAUCCAGCUCCCUCCUCUCUGGUUCCGAGUGCAUCACCAGAGAACUGUC
rfam:Myotis lucifugus cont2.12999, whole genome shotgun sequence.